GACGAACGCUGGCGGCGUGCCUAAUACAUGCAAGUUGAGCGAUGAAGAUUGGUGCUUGCACCAAUUUGAAGAGCAGCGAACGGGUGAGUAACGCGUGGGGAAUCUGCCUUUGAGCGGGGGACAACAUUUGGAAACGAAUGCUAAUACCGCAUAACAACUUUAAACAUAAGUUUUAAGUUUGAAAGAUGCAAUUGCAUCACUCAAAGAUGAUCCCGCGUUGUAUUAGCUAGUUGGUGAGGUAAAGGCUCACCAAGGCGAUGAUACAUAGCCGACCUGAGAGGGUGAUCGGCCCCAUUGGGACUGAGACACGGCCCAAACUCCUACGGGAGGCAGCAGUAGGGAAUCUUCGGCAAUGGACGAAAGUCUGACCGAGCAACGCCGCGUGAGUGAAGAAGGUUUUCGGAUCGUAAAACUCGGUUGGUAGAGAAGAACGUUGGUGAGAGUGGGAAGCUCAUCAAGUGACGGUAACUACCCAGAAAGGGACGGCUAACUACGUG
rnacentral:rRNA from 1 species